UAUUUCAUUGAGUUAAGGUGUUUUCUAUUUUGGUGAUACAAAUGGAGUUGUGUUUUUUUAAAUGUUAAAUUCUCGCUACUAUUAAGUAUAUUUAUAAGGAAGACGUUUAAUUUGAGAAAAGAUAUGACACCCUUUUGAAAAAAUUACUCUGAUUACUCUAUAAAUUGCAUGUUGGAGUUUAGGGUAUUAAAUAAAAGCUCAGGAUGAAUGCUCAUCAAACAUCUCGCGUGUGUAAUUCAAGCAACAAAAAGAUAUUUGGCUUAAAAAUCUAUGAAUAUUAUGUUCUAAUGCAACAAAUUCUUCUGGUGGAAUUAAGGGGUUCAUUGUUGAAUAGAUUCACUUCAAUUAUUAUGGACCUUUGAAAUUUCUUCAAGCAAAUAUGCUCUAAGGUACUUAAUGUGGAUUUUCUUGCACAAUUAGAGUCUCAAAAGCUUUAACACUUUCUCAAUUGGAAACAAUCUUUCCUCCAUCAUUUUCUACCAUUAUUAUGCAUUACGUAAUUCAUUUGACAUCUGAAGUAAAAGUUGCUAGACCAGUACAAUAUCGAUGGAUGUAUCAUAUUGAGAGGUUUCUUUCCGCUAUUAAGUAAUUUAUAUGCAAUAGAGCUGAAGGAUCAAUUGUAGAAGGAUUUUGGCCAAUGAAUGAUGCCUUUUUGUUCACAAUUUCUAUCUGGGGUGUAAUAGACCUAGUAGAAAUGAUGAAGAUUUUACAUUGAAAGAUUGUGCCACCUUUUUACAUCUGGUUGGAAGACCAAUAGGAAGGAAAAAACAACAGUGUUGCUCUAUUGUGAUGUUGUUAUUCUUUUGUUGUACCAAGUCUAAGUUGCAGUGUGUAUUUCUCUGCUAUGAUGUUGUUAUUAUUUUGCUUUAAAUAGAAAUCCAAGCCAACUUGUUAGCUUGUUUUUAUUAUUAUAUUUUGAUUCUAUAUUGAAAAAGCUGCAAAAUUGAUUGUAAUAUUUCCUUUCAUUCAUGCCUUUUAUGAUUCUAUGACUUGAAUUCAACUUAUGUGUGAAAUUAAUGGAAUUGGACUUAAAUGUGUUGGCUGCAAGAGAUUUGUAUUAAUUAUGUGACUUGUAUUAAAAUUAA